UACGUGAGGGUCCGAGCGUUGUCCGGAAUUACUGGGCGUAAAGAGCUCGUAGGUGGUUUGUCGCGUUGUUCGUGAAAACUCACAGCUCAACUGUGGGCGUGACGGGCGAUACGGGCAGACUAGAGGUACUGCAGGGGAGACUGGAAGUUCCUGGUGUAGCGGUGGAAGUGCGCAGAUAUCAGGAGGAACACCGAGUAGCGAAGGCAGCUUACUGGGCUGUAACUGACGCU
rnacentral:rRNA from 1 species